GCACAAUACGUAACAUCACUAACUACAAGUGAACAUAUAUUGUGGAUCAUUGAGACAGCGUGGUGUCCAGAGGUCUUAUCCCAUGUUCCCACUUCCUCUGAGGGGACAGCACGGAGGGGGGGCAUGAAGAGAGACCUGCACCAUCUUCAUCCACGCUGGCGUUGCUGUUAUCACUUGCUCAGUGUCAUUUCAUUUGACCAAAUGUCUUUACAUAUAUGCAAUAGAUGUUAUUAUCAUGUCCUUUUAUUUAAAACAUUCUUUGAGACUUCAUCUUCUGGUUCAAAUUUCAAUAAAUGUAAUUUGUAUAAUCA